rnacentral:tRNA from 1 species
GGCGUGGCGUAGUUGGAUAUCGCGUCGGACUCCGACUCCGAAGAACGCUGGUUCGAAUCCAGUCGUCUA